AUGACACUUCCACCUCCAUGCUUAACAACUGACAAUAAAUCCAACUAUUUGGUGGGGGGUGUUAAUUAUCACAUUAGAGUGCCAGAGUUUAAUAUUUUCAUCUUUCAUAAAGUUCUAGUUCUGAUAUUUUGUUUGUGUCAAAGUCAGAGAGCCGUGUCUCUACAGUCAGAGGUUUUUGUACGACGGCUCAAUGAGUUUGUAUCACUGUGGUACACGUUCGGUGGAGGAACCAGACUGGAUGUUGGAAGUGAUACUCGUCCCACCCUGACAGUGCUGCCCCCCUCCAGUGAGGAGCUGCAGCAGGGGAAGGCCACUCUCAUGUGUCUGGCCAACAAGGGCUUCCCUUCAGGCUGGAGUCUGUCCUGGAAGGUGGACGGCAGCAGCAGCAGCAGCAGCAGCAGCUGGGAGCAGAGCAGGAGCCCCGGGGUGCUGCAGAAGGACGGCCUCUACAGCUGGAGCAGCACCCUGAGGCUCCCUGCAGACCAGUGGAGGAAGGUGGGCUCUGUGACCUGUGAGGCCACCCAGGGCUCCCAGACUGCAGUCACAAAGUCCCUGAGGAGAGACCAGUGUUCCCAGUCCUGACAUCACUUACUGGGAGUUAAUUGUUUCUUACAUUUUUACUGAUGUUACUUUGGCUGUUUCUUUUCUUGUCUUUAUCUGUCCAAUAAAGUUCUAAUUCAAAUUUACAGAUUAAAGACAUUUUCUUCAAAUCAAAA